rnacentral:rRNA from 1 species
GGUUAAGCGACUAAGCGUACACGGUGGAUGCCCUGGCAGUCAGAGGCGAUGAAGGACGUGCUAAUCUGCGAUAAGCGUCGGUGAGGUGAUAUGAACCGUUAUAACCGGCGAUUUCCGAAUGGGGAAACCCAGUGUGUUUCGACACACUAUCAUUAACUGAAUCCAUAGGUUAAUGAGGCGAACCGGGGGAACUGAAACAUCUAAGUACCCCGAGGAAAAGAAAUCAACCGAGAUUCCCCCAGUAGCGGCGAGCGAACGGGGAGGAGCCCAGAGCCUGAAUCAGUGUGUGUGUUAGUGGAAGCGUCUGGAAAGGCGCGCGAUACAGGGUGACAGCCCCGUACACAAAAAUGCACAUAUUGUGAGCUCGAUGAGUAGGGCGGGACACGUGGUAUCCUGUCUGAAUAUGGGGGGACCAUCCUCCAAGGCUAAAUACUCCUGACUGACCGAUAGUGAACCAGUACCGUGAGGGAAAGGCGAAAAGAACCCCGGCGAGGGGAGUGAAAAAGAACCUGAAACCGUGUACGUACAAGCAGUGGGAGCCUCUUAAUGGGGUGACUGCGUACCUUUUGUAUAAUGGGUCAGCGACUUAUAUUCUGUAGCAAGGUUAACCGAAUAGGGGAGCCGAAGGGAAACCGAGUCUUAACUGGGCGUUAAGUUGCAGGGUAUAGACCCGAAACCCGGUGAUCUAGCCAUGGGCAGGUUGAAGGUUGGGUAACACUAACUGGAGGACCGAACCGACUAAUGUUGAAAAAUUAGCGGAUGACUUGUGGCUGGGGGUGAAAGGCCAAUCAAACCGGGAGAUAGCUGGUUCUCCCCGAAAGCUAUUUAGGUAGCGCCUCGUGAAUUCAUCUCCGGGGGUAGAGCACUGUUUCGGCAAGGGGGUCAUCCCGACUUACCAACCCGAUGCAAACUGCGAAUACCGGAGAAUGUUAUCACGGGAGACACACGGCGGGUGCUAACGUCCGUCGUGAAGAGGGAAACAACCCAGACCGCCAGCUAAGGUCCCAAAGUCAUGGUUAAGUGGGAAACGAUGUGGGAAGGCCCAGACAGCCAGGAUGUUGGCUUAGAAGCAGCCAUCAUUUAAAGAAAGCGUAAUAGCUCACUGGUCGAGUCGGCCUGCGCGGAAGAUGUAACGGGGCUAAACCAUGCACCGAAGCUGCGGCAGCGACACUAUGUGUUGUUGGGUAGGGGAGCGUUCUGUAAGCCUGUGAAGGUGGCCUGUGAGGGUUGCUGGAGGUAUCAGAAGUGCGAAUGCUGACAUAAGUAACGAUAAAGCGGGUGAAAAGCCCGCUCGCCGGAAGACCAAGGGUUCCUGUCCAACGUUAAUCGGGGCAGGGUGAGUCGACCCCUAAGGCGAGGCCGAAAGGCGUAGUCGAUGGGAAACAGGUUAAUAUUCCUGUACUUGGUGUUACUGCGAAGGGGGGACGGAGAAGGCUAUGUUGGCCGGGCGACGGUUGUCCCGGUUUAAGCGUGUAGGCUGGUUUUCCAGGCAAAUCCGGAAAAUCAAGGCUGAGGCGUGAUGACGAGGCACUACGGUGCUGAAGCGACAAAUGCCCUGCUUCCAGGAAAAGCCUCUAAGCAUCAGGUAACAUCAAAUCGUACCCCAAACCGACACAGGUGGUCAGGUAGAGAAUACCAAGGCGCUUGAGAGAACUCGGGUGAAGGAACUAGGCAAAAUGGUGCCGUAACUUCGGGAGAAGGCACGCUGAUAUGUAGGUGAAGCGACUUGCUCGUGGAGCUGAAAUC